rnacentral:tRNA from 1 species
GGGGCGGUGGCCCAACGGCAGAGGCAUUGGGUUUAAAACUCAAUAGUUUGUGGGUUCGAAUCCCACUCGCCCUA